rnacentral:rRNA from 1 species
AGUGAACGCUGGCGGUAGGCCUAACACAUGCGAGUCGAACGGCAGCACAGUAAGAGCUUGCUCUUACGGGUGGCGAGUGGCGGACGGGUGAGGAAUACAUCGGAAUCUACUUUUUCGUGGGGGAUAACGUAGGGAAACUUACGCUAAUACCGCAUACGACCUACGGGUGAAAGCAGGGGAUCUUCGGACCUUGCGCGAUUGAAUGAGCCGAUGUCGGAUUAGCUAGUUGGCGGGGUAAAGGCCCACCAAGGCGACGAUCCGUAGCCGGUCUGAGAGGAUGAUCAGCCACACUGGAACUGAGACACGGUCCAGACUCCUACGGGAGGCAGCAGUGGGGAAUAUUGGACAAUGGGCGCAAGCCUGAUCCAGCCAUACCGCGUGGGUGAAGAAGGCCUUCGGGUUGUAAAGCCCUUUUGUUGGGAAAGAAAAGCAGCAGGUUAAUACCCCGCUGUUCUGACGGUACCCAAAGAAUAAGCACCGGCUAACUUCGUG